UACGUAGGUGGCGAGCGUUGUCCGGAUUUACUGGGCGUAAAGGGAGCGUAGGCGGACUUUUAAGUGAGAUGUGAAAUACUCGGGCUCAACUUGAGUGCUGCAUUUCAAACUGGAAGUCUAGAGUGCAGGAGAGGAGAAUGGAAUUCCUAGUGUAGCGGUGAAAUGCUUAGAGAUCAUACAGAACACCGAUUGCGAAGGCAGCUUACCAAUCUAUAUCUGACGUUGAGGCACGAAAGCGUGGGGAGCAAACAGG
rnacentral:rRNA from 1 species